UCAGAACUACUCUCGCUGCAAGAGGAGGCCUCUGAGGAAGACUGAGGAAAGAACACCUGGUGAACCGCCGGUGUGUGUACUCAAGGCUACUCUCAGCUCAGGUCUCCAGACACUGAAAAGAGGAAGCGGUGGCCGUGGUAAAGGCGAGCGUGGUCCCAGUUUAUACCAGAUGGUUGGUGGAAAGGCUGUCAGGAUGCCACUGCCGGAGUUGGGAGAGAGGCUGAAGGAAGGCGGGAAGAAGG